CAUAACUUAAAAUGUCGCUUUUUAUGUUUUUUGACAGGCGCGACUUUACAUGUAUGUCAAUACUAUAUAAACUGUACGCUGAAGUCUCUUUAGCUACUCCACUCUCAUAUGUAUAUGAUAUUUUCUUAAUCUUUGUUAUUAAAAACUCACCAUAACUAGCCAAAAAAUAUACAGAUUUUUUCUUCUAUUUAGGUGACAGGAGCACACUGAACAAGAUCCUGAACAAUGGUUUUAAAGUGGACUUGGCAAGAGUGUCCAGCCCACCAGCCUCUGAUUAGUCAACCACCAACAACACAACGGAAUCCACCAGAGGGACGAAGAAAUCGCAGAGAGCUGCUGAAGGAGCGUCCAGCCUUUCAGCCUCCGAUGACUCAACCAUCACAAACACAUCAAAGCCCACCAGAGAGACAAAAAAACGACAUAAAUCUGCUGAGGCUGCUGCAGUAGCUGCCAACAAGGGCAAAAAGAGGAACAAAUCCGGAGAACCUUCACAACCAGAAAAGGACACCUGGUUAGAUGAGCAGGCCAGGCAAAUACUUCAUAAAAGGAGGUCUGCAACAGUUUCAACUCCAGCCAACAAUGAUGCCCCAAUCCAGCCUCCAGUAACAAUGGUUACACCACAGUCUUCGGUAACGCAUACCUACAACGGUGCCCCACCACAGCCUGUAAUGCCAACCGUCAACGUUGCCCCACCUCAGCCUGUAAUGCCAACCGUCAACGAUGCCCCACCUCAGCCUGUAAUGCCAACCGUCAACGAUGCCCCACCUCAGCCUGUA